AGUGAACGCUGGCGGCAGGCCUAAUACAUGCAAGUCGAACGGCAGCACAGCAGAGCUUGCUCUGUGGGUGGCGAGUGGCGGACGGGUGAGGAAUACGUGGGAAUCUGCCCAGUCGUGGGGGAUAACGUAGGGAAACUUACGCUAAUACCGCAUGCGCCCUUCGGGGGAAAGCCGGGGACCUUCGGGCCUGGCGCGAUUGGAUGAGCCCACGUCGGAUUAGCUAGUUGGCGGGGUAAAGGCCCACCAAGGCGACGAUCCGUAGCUGGUCUGAGAGGAUGAUCAGCCACACUGGAACUGAGACACGGUCCAGACUCCUACGGGAGGCAGCAGUAGGGAAUAUUGGACAAUGGGCGCAAGCCUGAUCCAGCCAUGCCGCGUGAGUGAAGAAGGCCCUCGGGUUGUAAACUGCUUUUGUACGGAGCGAAAAGGCUCUCUCUAAUACAGAGGGCUCAUGACGGUACCGUAAGAAUAAGCACCGGCUAACUACGUGACC
rnacentral:rRNA from 1 species